AUUUAAAGUGGUACGCGAGCUGGGUUCAGAACGUCGUGAGACAGUUCGGUCCCUAUCUGCCGUGGGCGUUUGAGAUUUGAGGGAAGCUGCUCCUAGUACGAGAGGACCGGAGUGGACGAACCUCUGGUGUUCCGGUUGUCAUGCCAAUGGCAUUGCCGGGUAGCUAUGUUCGGACAGGAUAACCGCUGAAAGCAUCUAAGCGGGAAGCCCCUCCCAAGAUGAGAUCUCACUGGGACCAUGAGUCCCCUGAAGGGCCCUGGGAGACUACCAGGUUGAUAGGUCAGGUGUGGAAGUCCAGUAAUGGAUGAAGCUAACUGAUACUAAUUGCCCGUGAGGCUUGACCAU
rnacentral:rRNA from 1 species